rnacentral:rRNA from 1 species
CGGCCUGGUAGUGGCGGACGGGUGAGUAUCGCGUAGGGAUGUAUCGUUGGGUGGGGGAUAGCCUUGGGAAACUGGGGGUAAUACCGCAUGACGCCUGUGGGCCAAAGGUCGCGAGACCGCCUGACGAGCAGCCUGCGUCCGAUUAGCUAGUUGGUUGGGUAAUGGCUGACCAAGGCUGUGAUCGGUAGCUGGUCUGAGAGGAUGAUCAGCCACACUGGGACUGAGACACGGCCCAGACUCCUACGGGAGGCAGCAGUGGGGAAUAUUGGACAAUGGGCGCAAGCCUGAUCCAGCAAUGCCGCGUGGAUGAAGAAGGUCUUCGGAUUGUAAAGUCCUUUCGGCGGGGACGAUGAUGACGGUACCC